GGGGAAUCUUGCGCAAUGGGCGAAAGCCUGACGCAGCCAUGCCGCGUGAAUGAUGAAGGUCUUAGGAUUGUAAAAUUCUUUCAGCAGGGACGGUAAUGACGGUACCUGCAGAAGAAGCCCCGGCUAACUUCGUGCCAGCAGCCGCGGUAAUACGAAGGGGGCUAGCGUUGCUCGGAAUUACUGGGCGUAAAGGGCGCGUAGGCGGAUUGUUAAGUUGGAGGUGAAAGCCCAGGGCUCAACCUUGGAACUGCCUUCAAUACUGGCAAUCUCGAGUAUGAGAGAGGUGUGUGGAACUCCGAGUGUAGAGGUGAAAUUCGUAGAUAUUCGGAAGAACACCAGUGGCGAAGGCGACACACUGGCUCAUUACUGACGCUGAGGCGCGAAAGCGUGGGGAGCAAACA
rnacentral:rRNA from 1 species